ensembl:lncRNA
UGCCGCUGUCCUCGCCCAGCCCCCAGCCUGCGGGGCUGCAGUGAGGGCCGGAAGCCAGGGCAGGAGGGGCGGCAGCGGGAAGGAAAGGGUUAUACCGUGGGUCGAGGCACGGCACGGUCGCACCUCGGAGCUGCAGCUCUGCGCCUUCUGCGGAAGUCCCAACUUCCCCUCCCUGUCAGCCGUCCAGAGACCCAGGCGGCCCCGGGAGUGAGCUGAAUCUCGGCCAGAUCCUCUCCUCUUGGAGGGAUGCUCAGCCGGGGCGGGGUGUUGGGAGGGAGACGUCCGAGCAGGCGGGGCCUGGCCCCCUCUCCCUGCCCCGGCCCGGGCUCCUUCCAGCAGCCUCUGCCCCAUGAGCCACGCACAGGGCCCCGGAGGGCGGCCUAGGCUAGGUCUCCGGGGGCCCUGCCGGCUUCUGCUGAGGCCCUCCCUCGGCGCCCACCACCCCAGGGGGAAGUCCGGACCGGGCGCCAGCAGCGCCGACAGCCGUGGGCCGUGGGCCGGGACAGCAGCUGGGAACCAGAACCCGCUUCCCCACUUCCUGCCCUCGCGCGCGCCGCCCCGCCGCCUCCUCCCUCCUCCCUCCUCCCUCCGCCCCCGCUGCGAGAGGCUGUUUUCCCCCCUGGAUGGCGCGCACACGCUCCGCUCCGUCCCACUGGCUUUCUUUUAUGGAGUUAAAAGUGUCUGUAGACGCCUAGACGUCAAACAGGAGAAGACAGCCCCAGGCCCUGCUGGUCUCAAACAUCCCAUCCCGUGCAGCCAGCAGCAGAGAGCAGGGCAGGCAGAGGGACCCUUGGGGCGCGCCGCUGGGAGUCUCCGCCCGAGGACCCAGCCCGCAGAGGCCAGGCCACACGCCGCACGCCACUGCCCAGGAAGACAGCAAGGACCAGGGACCUGUCUGCUUCCCAUAGAUGAGCACACUGAGGCCCAGAGAGGACUUGGAAGUGUGUUGAGACCCUGAGGUCUCCAAAAUGAGGGGGCCUGAGGCCCCCAGGCUCACCACUGACUGGAAGCCCCCUUCCUCACCGCCCAGGAUCCAGUCUGUCCCUCAUAUACCAGGACAGCCACUCCGGCUCUGAUACCUGUCCACACACUCCCCAGAUAGUCCCAGGCCUCUCAGAGCAUAGCACCACCUGGCUCCCACAGGGCCACCCUCACCGUUGCCCUGAGAGAACAGUGGCAGGAAAGGCCUGAAGUUUGUGAGGCAGAGAAGCCUGCGUCUGAGUCCAGCUGUCACUUGUGACUCCAGCUGGUGGCGCACCUGGGACAUCUGCCCCUCCCUGGGCAUUGGGUGGGGCAGCCAGCCUAGGGAUGGGGAGCACUCACUGACAGUUGCUACCACGCUUCCUGGCCCGGGCUCCUUCCAGAGGCAUCCUCCUGAGCCUCCGUGCUCACGCAGAAGGCAUUUAUGUUGUCCUGUUCAGCAGGAAGCACCGGGCCAGCCGCUGUAGGUGAUAAAAUGGCUCGACUUUGCCCAGCCUUCAGGUGGCCUGUGGCGUGCACGCCUUCCUAGUCCCACCAGGAGCCAUCGACCCCACCCGCUUCUCUGCCUUCUCUCCUGCACUCCGUCCCAACCCACCACCACCAUGGCUGCCCUGAUCGUAGAGAACUUCCGCUUCCUGUCACUCUUCAAGAGCAAGGAUGUGAUGAUUUUCAAUGGGCUGGUGGCACUGGGCACAGUAAGGGCAGCCAGGAGCUGUUCUCUGUGUGGCCCU